rnacentral:rRNA from 1 species
UACGAAGGGGGCUAGCGUUGCUCGGAAUUACUGGGCGUAAAGGGAGCGUAGGCGGACAGUUUAGUCAGAGGUGAAAGCCCAGGGCUCAACCUUGGAAUUGCCUUUGAUACUGACUGUCUUGAGUAUGGGAGAGGUAUGCGGAACUCCGAGUGUAGAGGUGAAAUUCGUAGAUAUUCGGAAGAACACCAGUGGCGAAGGCGGCAUACUGGCCCAUUACUGACGCUGAGGCUCGAAAGCGUGGGGAGCAAACAGG